CGAGGUGCGUGGAUCCAAAAAGGCAUGAUUUUUGUGGAUUAACCCCUUUAGAAAUCGUAGACACGCGCUCAACGCGACAUGGGUGAGACUGGCUGUGAAAUCACACGAUUGGUAAAAGUGGGGUAUGAAGUGGAGCUCUCUCAUUGGCUAAAAAACUAAAAAUAGUAGGGGAGCUCCUCCUCUCAUAUAUUGAAAACAAUAAUAAACACUUAUGAAUUUUAUGAAUUUUCUGCGUUUUCAAAGUGAAUUUUUAUUGAUGUGCAUAGAUUUUGUUUCAUAUUUUGUGAACUUGUAGUUUAUCAACACUUAUGGAUCAUUCGAAAUGUAUACCAACCAGACCAGUCAGGG